ACACGGGGCACUCGAGCCCGGAGCCUACGUGCUCCUCGGUGACGGGGACGGUGGGGAGGGUCCUUGCUGCCGUCAGCCUGCGCCCCAGGAGAGAACGUGGGGAUCUCGAAGCUGUCGUCAAAGAUGCCGAAAGCAAACUGUCCGUAGCCCUGCGGCAGCGUGAACAGGUGCUGGUCCGCGUUCUCCAACGGCGGCCGGCUCUGACGCACAUCUUGGGCAGAUAUAAU
rnacentral:lncRNA from 1 species